AAGGCUGUCCAUAAAACUGAUCUGCACAGGACUCUCCUGACAAGCUCACUGUGGGUAUAUUAAGAAAACCCUUGGCUUUGGGAGUAAGAUGGCAUAAUAGCAGCUUCCUCUGUGUGACUCCAUGACUGAGAAAAGUGAGGAUAACAAAGAGGAGACUACUCAAGAGAGAGAAGAAGAGCGCCAGGAAUCACAAACGAGGUGACAGGGCAGGAGUCGGUGACCUUUGAAGAUGUGGCUGUGAACUUCACCCUGAGGAGUGGGCUCUGCUGGAAACUUCCCAGAAGCUCUACAAAGAUGUGAUGCUGUAAACCUUCAGGAGCCUGACUGCUAUAGGGAUCUAAAUUUUAGGAAAAGCACAGGAAAAACAAAACACUGAAGAUGAGCACAGAAACUUCUGGACAAAUCUAAGGUAAUUUAAACUCAGAAUGGACAGCAAUAUUUAUUAUCUUGGUAUUAUGGGAUACUUAAAAAACAAGGAAAUAUUGGAAAUUCAUCUAGCUUCUGUUAGGUCCCUGGCACUCUUGGGGCAGGCAGAAGGUCCCAAG